rnacentral:piRNA from 1 species
UGGGAACGAGGAGACACUCGUGGAGGCGUC